GAUGAAGAACGCAGCGAAAUGCGAUAAGUAAUGUGAAUUGCAGAAUUCAGUGAAUCAUCGAAUCUUUGAACGCACAUUGCGCCCGCCAGUAUUCUGGCGGGCAUGCCUGUUCGAGCGUCAUUUCAACCAUCAAGCCCCCGGCUUGUGUUGGGGACCUGCGGCUGCCGCAGGCCCUGAAAACCAGUGGCGGGCUCGCUAGUCACUCCGAGCGUAGUAAUACAUCUCGCUCAGGGCGUGCUGCGGGUUCCGGCCGUUAAAAGCCUUUUUUACCCAAGGUUGACCUCGGAUCAGGUAGGAAGACCCGCUGAACUUAAGCAUAUCAAUAAGCGGAGGA
rnacentral:misc_RNA from 1 species